CAGCAGGGGGUUGGGACUGGAUGAGCACUGUGGCCAUUCUAUGAUUCUAUGAUUCUAAUACACAUGGCAGACUGCUGCCUGGCAACAGGUGCUCCAAGUCUCUUAUCAGUCAUUUCACCUCUGUGCUUGUUGAUCUGACCUGCUGAAUGACACCCUGAGCCCAUCUGCAGAACUCAGAUCUCCCUGUAAAUGAAGAGCUUCAGAAGGUUCAGCACAACCCCUGACAGAGCAGGACUGUCCUGCAAGCACACAGAGCCUUCCUCUCCAGCAUCCUGCAGUGCUCUGGGCUGCAGCCAGCAGAAUGCAUGCCCACAGAAAUCCAUGCUUGAUGCUCAGCACAAGAGUCAGAGAAGCAUCUGCAAUUCACUUGCCCAGGGCUGCUGCUGCCACAGUCAGUGGGUACCUGUGACAACAAGGACUGGCCUUGGUGAUGCAAACAUGGAAACCAAGUCAGACUCAAAGUCCCUGUCCUGACCACUCUUUCUUUCAAUAAAAGACUAUUGAAACAAAAUAUUUUCAAUCACAAAUGCCAUUCUUGUAUCCUGGCACAGCUGUGCCUCGAGCCAGUCUUUGUACACCAUGCUGCCCCUUCCCUGGGAAAAGAUGCCAUGAAAUCCCAAUGAGAGGAUGCAUAAAGCAUCACAGGAUAUUAGUGCAACCAAAAUCCUGCACAACAGCACCUCUAGCCUUGGCCAAAUGCUUCCAUUUGCCAUUUUUGCUAGGAACUCCAAGUCAGCCAUAGGCACAUCCUCCAAGUUUUGCUGUGUUGACUUCAGUCUUUCACGAGAUGAACAUAGCAGCGUUUCUUCAUCAGGUGGUAAUGACUGAGGGGGUCAUCUCUGCAGGACAGUGUCAUCAUAAAUAGCCUGGCGAAAGCCUCGGCACAUCUUUUGAGAUGAUAAUGCAGAAGCAACCAUUUCCUCUCGCUCUUGAAGGCUGCGUUAGUGCUGUUACCGGCGUUAUUCCUGCAUGCUGACACUGAGCAGCACACGAAAUGAAGGCUGCUUUCGCCACCUGGUGCUACUAUCGGUAAUUACAGGAGAUGGCUUAUGGGAUCCCUUAGUGCUUAAUAUGCCUUCUCAAGGAAGUCGCACGUGAAACCGGGCUAUUUUAAUUGCCAUCAACAGAACGAGAUGGCAAAAAGGUGCCAAACAGUAACAGUGCCAAUAGCAACACCGCAGAAAUGCAGUCUUUAGAGGGGACAGAAAAUAGUUGCUCUUUCCUCCGUUUUCAUCCUCUUUGCAAAGCCAGUAGGAUGAGGUGUGGGGCUUGGUGCAUCCCCUAGGCUGAGCAUCCUACUUGCUUACCUUAGCACAACCAACUGUGUGGUGGGAGCUUUGGAUCUGCAGGGCUGGCAGGAAGAGUCCUGCAGCUAACUGAUGCCAAUUCAGCUUUUAUAUUCAGAUAUGCUAUUUAUCCUCCAGAAUAAAUCACUUCAAAGCCCCUCAAAGCUGGCUGGAAACUUCCCACUGAUAUGAAUGGACGUUAAGGCUCCAGCACUGUGAUUCUGAAUCCAUCUGAGAUCGCAGGCUAACCUGCACCCAAAACACCCAUCUCCUGUAUAACACAAAAAUAACUUCCCAGCAUAACUCAGGUUCAGUGCAGGAAUUAGCACUACAGCACAUGCUGUUAAGCCCUGGAUUGCUUUUCACUUUACCAUCAAAUUAGGAGAAACUCUGAUAUAUAGACACGAUCAUUUGUAUUUAAGUACCCAGCUCCUCCUGCUUGAGCACAGGUGAGCUUUGGCAGGAGGCUUGCAAGAUGUGAGUCUUGCAGUUUGUGCUGUUGUCCUUAUGGCAGGGACACUGUGACACCCCAUGGGCAGGGCAGAGGGCACUGCUGCCAUGGUGAGCACAGCACAGCCACAGCCACCACCAGGAGCAGCCCGACCCCCCAGCACCAGGGUUUGGGCAUCAUCCCUGUAGUUGUGUGGGGGACCUUGGCACCAUGGAACAAUGCAAACUGCAUUCAGGAUACCCAGCUGUGGGGCCAUGAGCACAGCAAAAAGAAGCAGCCCUGAGAGGGGCUCUGACCUCUGAUUGUUACCACUGCUGCAUUUGACAGCAAAGGAAUCAGCAGACAACCAACAGGGCAAAAAUCAGCACCUGGAGCAAUUCAAUUUGAGAGUAAUUGCAUAAAUUACGUAAUGAGAAAAAGAUUAGCUGAAUUAGGGUUUCUGUGUGAAUUCAGAAUGCAGAUAGCAUGACCACAGCCUGUGCCUUGAGCAUGCCCUUGCUCUGUAGUAGUAAUGCUCCCUAUUACUGCACAUAGCAUCUCAUCUGAUGACAGAAAUGCUUCCAGUUCCAAACAACCCCAAACUGAGGUCUGCAGAAUCAGCUCUUCCCCCAAGCUGAGCUGCAGAACCCAGCAGCACCUCCAUGACACUGUGAGCAGCGAGCAGAGCUGGAGCCUGACAGAAGUAAAGCAACAUCUUGAGCUGACACAGCCACAUGAGGCUGACCUUGGGUUGCUUCUGACUAAAAUGAAUUAGCUGGCAGAGAGAAUCAGGUGGAAAGCUGAAACUAUCAUUUUCCAGUGAUAUUCAAGGUAAAAGCCUUAGGAACAAUCUUUUGUCAGUUUCUGAGACUUGAUUAACUGCCUUAAUUUCAUAUGAUUAAUGGCUUUCAGAUCUCCGGAGGUCCAAGUCGCCAUACACAUCUUGUUACUGGGGUGUCUUCAAAAAGCCUUUCUCCAAGAAUCCUACAAGCUGAUUGAGAGCCACAGCCCCUGCUCCCCAGCAGACCUUGCCAUGCUGAACCCUCAUGCUCUCCCUGGAAUCACAUUCUGAGGGGAUGCAGAGAUCAAGACAGAUGGAGAAUGGCUGUCCCACCUGCUGAAACCCCAAAGGGAAAUUAUGUCUGCUGCAAAAACAUCAGAGACACCUCCUUCUCUUCUGGUCUUCCGGGGAAAUGGCUCAAGAGUACAUGAGAGGUGCUCAGAGAAUGUCUGGAUCUGGGUCCCUCUAGGUAUCAUCAGAUCCCCUGUGGCCUCUGUGCUGGCACUCCAGUCCUGCUGAUUGUGCUCUUUAGCACCAUAAAUGCUGCCUUUGGUCUCACCUCAACACCAGUUCAAGAGCUCUGUGGCGUAGGGCAGAAAAGAAGGAAGAAAGAAACCUUAUGAAAACACUUAAGGCUGCCC